GGAGAAAGUCCACAACUACGAGGGUGUGACUGAAGUAUCCCUGUUGAGCUGCAUCACAGCACACUGGUCUAUGCACUAUGUGCAUGUAUGUUUCUUGCUUAAAUCCACACACAACCAGGCCUGGGAGAGAAAAUUACUGAUAUCCACAAAACCAAAUCAGACAAGGAGCAUACUAUAUAAAGACAAC